rnacentral:rRNA from 1 species
AGAGCGCAAGGAGAAUGCCUUGGCACCGGAAGCCGAAGAAGGACGUGACAAGCUGCGAAAAGCUGCGGGGAGCUGCAAAUAAGCCUAGAUCCGCGGAUAUCCGAAUGGGGCAACCCUCCCGGGAACAUCCCCGGGAAGUGCAUACUGAAUCCAUAGGUAUGUACAGGGAACCUGCCGAACUGAAACAUCUAAGUAGGCAGAGGAAAAGAGAUCAAACGAGAUUUCGCGAGUAGCGGCGAGCGAAAGCGAAGGAGGCUAAACCAAGAGUAGAAAUACUUUUGGGGUUAUGGACUGAAUAAGGCAAGAUCAAGUGUACCCGAAGGGCGUGGGAAAGCCCACCGAAGAAAGUGAGAGUCUUGUAGGGGAAACAUAAGAGAAGCCGACAGUAUCCGAAGUAGGUACGGACACGAGAAAUCCGUAGUGAAGACAGGGGGACCACCCUCUAAGCCUAAAUACUAACCGGUGACCGAUAGUGGAGCAGUACUGUGAAGGAAAGGUGAAAAGAACCCCGGAAGGGGAGUGAAAGAGAACCUGAAACCUUGCGUUUACAAGCACAUAAAGAGCGUUAAAGCUCGAUAUGGUACUUUUUGUAGAACGGUCCGGCGAGUUUAUGUAUGCAGCAAGGUUAAGCACUUAAGGUGUGGAGCCGCAGGGAAACCGAGUUUAAAAAGAGCGAAUAGUUGCAUAUGUAAGACCCGAAACCGGGUGACCUACCCAUGUCCAGGAUGAAGUUGCGGUAAAACGCAAUGGAGGUCCGAACCGACCCCCGUUGAAAAGUUGGCGGAUGAGGUGUGGGUAGCGGAGAAAUUCCAAUCGAACCCGGAGAUAGCUGGUUCUCCCCGAAAUAGCUUUAGGGCUAGCCUUGUUUGAACAUUACCGGAGGUAAAGCACUGAAUAGGUUAGGGGCCGAGAGGUUACCGACCCUUAUCAAACUCUGAAUGCCGGAUAAUGAUGAACAGGAGUCAGACUGUGUGAGAUAAGUCUCACGGUCAAAAGGGAAACAGCCCAGAUCUACAGCUAAGGUCCCAAAUAUAUGCUAAGUGGAGAAGGAUGUGGCGUUGCGAAGACAACCAGGAUGUUGGCUUAGAAGCAGCCACUCAUUUAAAGAGUGCGUAAUAGCUCACUGGUCGAGUGAAGCUGCGCCGAAGAUUUAACGGGGCUAAGCAUAUAACCGAAGCUUAGGCUUGUGUGGAGACACACAGGGGUAGGGGAGCGUUGUAUACAGGGUGAAGCGAUAGCGGAAGCAGUCGUGGACAGUAUAGAAGUGAGAAUGCCGGAAUAAGUAGCGAGAAUUGCGUGAGAAUCGCAAUGGCCGAAAGUCUAAGGUUUCCGGGGGCAGGUUCGUCCUCCCCGGGUAAGCCGGGAGCUAAGGUGAGGCCGGAAGGCGUAGCCGAUGCACAUACGGUAGAAAUUCCGUAGCCGCCAAAACUGUUAAGUAUGCUGACACUCAGUAAAGACUCAUCCCGGGUGAUGGUUAUUCCCGGGCGAAAGGGACUGAAAUUAGAGUAGGGAAGUGAGUUGUAAUGAGGCGAGAAAAGGCAUAUGUAUUGGUGAGGCGUCCGUACCGCAAACCGACACAGGUAGAUGAGGAGAGGAUCCUAAGGCCAGCGGGAGAAGGGUUGUUAAGGAACUCGGCAAAUUGACCCCGUAACUUAGGGAGAAGGGGAGCCUGCGCAAGCAGGCCGCAGUGAAAAGGUCCAGGCAACUGUUUAACAAAAACACAGGUCUCUGCGAAACCGAAAGGUGAAGUAUAGGGGCUGACGCCUGCCCGGUGCCGGAAGGUCAAGGGGAAGUGUUAGAGCAAUCGAAGCACAGAACUUAAGCCCCGGUAAACGGCGGCCGUAACUAUAACGGUCCUAAGGUAGCGAAAUUCCUUGUCAGGUAAGUUCUGACCCGCACGAAAGGCGUAAUGAUCUGGACACUGUCUCAACAGCCCGCCCGGCGAAAUUGUAGUACCGGUGAAGAUGCCGGUUACCCGCGACUAGACGGAAAGACCCCAUGGAGCUUUACUGUAGUUUGAUACUGGAUUUCGACAGAUUAUGUACAGGAUAUGUGGGAGACUGAGAAGUAAUGGCGUCAGCUGUUAUGGAGUCGUCCUUGGGAUACCACGCUUAAUGUGUUGAGGUUCUAACCUGCUCACUGAAACGUGAGCGGGGACAAUGUCAGGCAGGCAGUUUGACUGGGGCGGUCGCCUCCAAAAGAGUAACGGAGGCGUACAAAGGUCGGCUCAGCGCGGACGGAAAUCGCGCAAUGAGUAUAAACGUAGAAGCCGGCCUAACUGUGAGACAAACACGUCGAGCAGUAACGAAAGUUGGUGUUAGUGAUCAGGCGGUAGUGAGUGGAAAUGCCGUCGCUUAACGGAUAAAAGCUACCCUGGGGAUAACAGGCUGAUCUCCCCCAAGAGUUCACAUCGACGGGGAGGUUUGGCACCUCGAUGUCGGCUCAUCACAUCCUGGGGCUUGGAGCAGGUCCCAAGGGUUCGGCUGUCCGCCGAUUAAAGUGGUACGCGAGCUGGGUUCAGAACGUCGUGAGACAGUUCGGUCCCUAUCUGUCGUGGGCGCAGGAUAUUUGAGAGGAGCUGUCCUUAGUACGAGAGGACCGGGAUGGACAUACCACCGGUGCACCGGUUGUUCCGCCAGGAGCAUAGCCGGGUAGCCGCGUAUGGAAGUGAUAAACGCUGAAGGCAUCUAAGCGUGAAACACACCUCGAGAUAAGAUAUCCCAUAGCACAAGCUAGUAAGGUCACUUGA